rnacentral:rRNA from 1 species
AAUGAACGCUGGCGGCAGGCUUAACACAUGCAAGUCGAACGGAUCCUUCGGGAUUAGUGGCAGACGGGUGAGUAACGCGUGGGAACGUACCCUUUGCUACGGAAUAACUCAGGGAAACUUGAGCUAAUACCGUAUGUGCCCUACGGGGGAAAGAUUUAUCGGCAAAGGAUCGGCCCGCGUUGGAUUAGCUAGUUGGUGGGGUAAUGGCCUACCAAGGCGACGAUCCAUAGCUGGUCUGAGAGGAUGAUCAGCCACACUGGGACUGAGACACGGCCCAGACUCCUACGGGAGGCAGCAGUGGGGAAUAUUGGACAAUGGGCGCAAGCCUGAUCCAGCCAUGCCGCGUGAGUGAUGAAGGUCUUAGGAUUGUAAAGCUCUUUCACCGGUGAAGAUAAUGACGGUAGCCGGAGAAGAAGCCCCGGCUAACUUCGUG